UCAAGGUGAUCGUUAAAUCGAGGAAAGGAAUUAUCAUCAGGAAUUGUGGAAUUACGCCCGAGUCGAUAAGUGGAUGACUCCGCAGGUGUAGAUUAGCGGGAAUUGACGGACCGCUCAGAGGACUUGAAGUGAUUUACCUCCAGCUUGUGUGAGGAUUUUGUGUGACUAUUUUGUGAGAGAUUGUGAGGAUUAUUACAUUCCAACUUACGUAAUGUAAAUUAUAAAUUUGGGUUGUAAUAAUUGGUUUUCUGAGUUGUAUUGAUAACUCAGUGAUGAUC